rnacentral:rRNA from 1 species
AACUUUCAACAACGGAUCUCUAGGCUCUUGCAUCGAUGAAGAACGCAGUGAAAUGCGAUAAGUAAUGUGAAUUGCAGAAUCUCGUGAAUCAUCGAAUCUUUGAACGCACAUGUGCGCCUUAUGGUAAUCCGUAAGGCAUGCCUGUCUGAACG